CGGGGUGGAGCAGCCUGGUAGCUCGUCGGGCUCAUAACCCGAAGGUCGCGGGUUCGAAUCCCGCCCCCG
rnacentral:tRNA from 1 species